rnacentral:rRNA from 1 species
AAAAGAUGGUUCUGCUAUCACUCUUGGAUGGACCUGCGGUGCAUUAGCUAGUUGGUAAGGUAACGGCUUACCAAGGCAAUGAUGCAUAGCCGAGUUGAGAGACUGAUCGGCCACAUUGGGACUGAGACACGGCCCAAACUCCUACGGGAGGCAGCAGUAGGGAAUCUUCCACAAUGGACGCAAGUCUGAUGGAGCAACGCCGCGUGAGUGAAGAAGGGUUUCGGCUCGUAAAGCUCUGUUGGUAGUGAAGAAAGAUAGAGGUAGUAACUGGCCUUUAUUUGACGGUAAUUACCUAGAAAGUCACGGCUAACUACGUGCCAGCAGCCGCGGUAAUACGUAGGUGGCAAGCGUUGUCCGGAUUUAUUGGGCGUAAAGCGAGUGCAGGCGGUUCAAUAAGUCUGAUGUGAAAGCCUUCGGCUCAACCGGAGAAUUGCAUCAGAAACUGUUGAACUUGAGUGCAGAAGAGGAGAGUGGAACUCCAUGUGUAGCGGUGGAAUGCGUAGAUAUAUGGAAGAACACCAGUGGCGAAGGCGGCUCUCUGGUCUGCAACUGACGCUGAGGCUCGAAAGCAUGGGUAGCGAACAGGAUUAGAUACCCUGGUAGUCCAUGCCGUAAACGAUGAGUGCUAAGUGUUGGGAGGUUUCCGCC